UGGAAUAAUCUGUUCUGUGCUUGCAGCAACUACCUACCUGAACCAGUGAAGCUCUGUGUGGGAACGAGGAUCCCCCGGCACUCAACCACCUACCUGAACCAGUGAAGCUCCGUGUGGGAACGAGGAUCCCCCGGCACUGUGAGCAACGCAACCUGUGGAAUAAUCUGUUCGGUGCUUGUGGCAACUACCUACCUGAACCAGUGAGGCCCUGUGUGGGAACGAGGAUCCCCCAGUGCUGUGGGCAUCAGUGGAGUGUUCGCCCUGGCCUGACUGUGUUCGAUUCUGCCUCCAGGAGAAGCGGAGCGCGCCACGGACUGCUGGGCCAGAGCCCCGGCCCCAGUCAUUUCCCCAAGUGGCCCUGGAGGCAAAGGAGAGCCACAUUAAUUUUAAAGUUCCCUUUUUCCCUUCCCCCUUUUCCCUUUUUAAAUAUUUAAUAAAGUUUGUUUUAAUUAUA